rnacentral:rRNA from 1 species
GAUGAACGCUGGCGGCGUGCCUAAUACAUGCAAGUCGAACGCUGAAGGAGGAGCUUGCUCUUCUGGAUGAGUUGCGAACGGGUGAGUAACGCGUAGGUAACCUGCCUGGUAGCGGGGGAUAACUAUUGGAAACGAUAGCUAAUACCGCAUGACAACAGUUAUUGCAUGAUAACUGUUUAAAAGGGGCAACUGCUCCACUACCAGAUGGACCUGCGUUGUAUUAGCUAGUUGGUGAGGUAACGGCUCACCAAGGCGACGAUACAUAGCCGACCUGAGAGGGGGAUCGGCCACACUGGGACUGAGACACGGCCCAGACUCCUACGGGAGGCAGCAGGAGGGAAUCUUCGGCAAUGGACGGAAGUCUGACCGAGCAACGCCGCGUGAGUGAAGAAGGUUUUCGGAUCGUAAAGCUCUGUUGUAAGAGAAGAACGAGUGUGAGAGUGGAAAGUUCACACUGUGACGGUAUCUGACCAGAAAGGGACGGCUAACUACGUG